rnacentral:rRNA from 1 species
GACGAACGCUGGCGGCGGGCUUAACACAUGCAAGUCGAACGGAAAUGCCCUUCUUUUGUGGGGUGCUCGAGUUGCGAACGGGUGAGUAGCACGUGAGUAACCUGUCUUUGACUUUGGGAUAACUUCAGGAAACUUGAGCUAAUACCGGAUAAUAGCUUCUCAUGCAUGGUUGUUGUUGGAAAGUUUCGGAGGUUGUGGAUGGACUCGCGGCUUAUCAGCUGGUUGGUCAGGUAGUGGCUUACCAAGGCGUUGAUGGGUAGCCUGCCUGAGAGGGUGACCGGCCAAAGUGGGACUGAGCUACGGCACAGACUACUACGGGAGGCAGCAGUGGGGAAUAGUGCAUAAUGGGCGGAAGCCUCAUGCAGCACCGCCGCGUGCGGGAUGACGGACUUCGGGUAGUAAGCCGCAUUCGCAUGUGCCGAAGAGUAAGUGAAGGUAAUGGGUAAAGAAGCACCGGCUAACUCCGUG